rnacentral:rRNA from 1 species
GUCAGCAGCCAUAGCACCUGCAGUUCAGACUAGGUUAUCCAUCUAAAGCUAUGCAGGUUUGGGCCUGGCCAGUAUUUAGAUGGGAGACCGACUAGGAAAGCUUGGUUGCUGCUGGAA